ACGGUCACAUCACAUUGAAACACCAGUUCUCAUAUGAUCACUGAAGUUAAGCAAUAUCAAGUCAGUAUCUUGGUGGGUGACCACUUGAAAAUACCAGGUGCUGUAAG